GCAUAGCGAGGACUACCAUGCAAGUCGAGCGGAUGAAGGGAGCUUGCUCUCUGAUUCAGCGGCGGACGGGUGAGUAAUGCCUAGGAAUCUGCCUGGUAGUGGGGGACAACGUUUCGAAAGGAACGCUAAUACCGCAUACGUCCUACGGGAGAAAGCAGGGGACCUUCGGGCCUUGCGCUAUCAGAUGAGCCUAGGUCGGAUUAGCUAGUUGGUGAGGUAACGGCUCACCAAGGCGACGAUCCGUAACUGGUCUGAGAGGAUGAUCAGUCACACUGGAACUGAGACACGGUCCAGACUCCUACGGGAGGCAGCAGUGGGGAAUAUUGGACAAUGGGCGAAAGCCUGAUCCAGCCAUGCCGCGUGUGUGAAGAAGGUCUUCGGAUUGUAAAGCACUUUAAGUUGGGAGGAAGGGCAUUAACCUAAUACGUUAGUGUUUUGACGUUACCGACAGAAUAAGCACCGGCUAACUUCGUGCCAGCAGCCGGGGUAAU
rnacentral:rRNA from 2 species